rnacentral:tRNA from 2 species
GCGGAGAUGGCACAGUGGUUACUGCAGUCGGUUGCAGCCCGACUUUUCCUGGGUUCGAAUCCCGGUCUCCGCU